rnacentral:rRNA from 1 species
AUGGCAAGAACGAUGCUUGAUGAAUACAAGACGCCAAAGCACUUUUGGGCAGAAGCGGUUGAGACAGCUUGUCACGCAACAAAUCACUUAUAUCUUCACAAGCUACUCGGAAGACGGCAUACGAGCUUCUCACCGGUAACAAACCCCAAGUUGGAUACUUUCGAGUAUUCAGCUCAAAGUGCUACAUUCUUGAUAAGCAUCGUCAUUCAAAGUUUGCUCCUAAAUCUCAUGAAGGUUUUCUACUUGGUUAUGGCUCAAACUCUCACACUUACCGUGUCUACAACAAUUUCACCCGAAAGGUUGAAGAGACGGUAG